rnacentral:rRNA from 1 species
GACAGAGGGUGCAAACGUUGUUCGGAAUUACUGGGCGUAAAGCGAGUGUAGGCGGUGUGGUAAGUCGGAUGUGAAGCCCGGGCUCAACCCGGGAAGUGCACUCGAUACUGCCACGCUAGAGUAUCGGAGAGGUUGGUGGAAUUCUCGGUGUAGAGGUGAAAUUCGUAGAUAUUCGGAAGAACACCAGUGGCGAAGGCGGCCCGCUGGACAAGUAUUGACGCUGAGGUGCGAAAGCGAUG